GAUGAACGCUGGCGGCGUGCCUAAUACAUGCAAGUCGAGCGAACAGACGAGGAGCUUGCUCCUCUGACGUUAGCGGCGGACGGGUGAGUAACACGUGGAUAACCUACCUAUAGGACGGGGAUAACUUGGGAAACCGGGGCCUAAUACGGGAAAAAUUUUUAACCCCAUGGGUUAAUUAGUAAAGGAGGUUUUUGCGGUCACUUAUAAAGGAUUCGGCGCCGAUUUACCAGGUGGUUAGGGAAAGGGCUACCCAGGGCAACGAUGCGUAGCCAACCUGAGAGGGUGUUCGGCCCCCCGGGAACUGAGCCCCGGCCCAGCUCCCUACGGGGGGCAGCAGGUGGGAAUCUUCCGCAAUGGGCGAAACCCUGACGGAGCAACGCCGCGGGAGUGAUGAAGGUCUUCGGAUUGUAAACCCUUGUUUUUAGGGAAAAAAAAAUUUGUAAGUAACUAUGCCCGUUUUGGCGGUACCAAAUCAGAAAGCCCCGGCUAACUCCGU
rnacentral:rRNA from 1 species